UACGUAGGGUGCGAGCGUUAAUCGGAAUUACUGGGCGUAAAGCGUGCGCAGGCGGGCUUUUAAGCCAGACGUGAAAUCCCCGGGCUUAACCUGGGAAUGGCGUUUGGGACUGGGAGUCUGGAGUGCGGCAGAGGAGACUGGAAUUCCUGGUGUAGCAGUGAAAUGCGUAGAGAUCAUGAGGAAGACCAGUGGCGAAGGCGGGUCUCUGGACAGUUCCUGACGCUGAGGCACGAAGGCCAGGGGAGCAAACGGG
rnacentral:rRNA from 1 species